rnacentral:rRNA from 1 species
GCCGCAGUAUCUUAACUGUGCAAAGGUAGCAUAAUCAUUUGUUCUUUAAUUGUGAACUAGUAUGAAGGGUUUGAUGAAGAAUAUUCUUUCUUUAUUUAAUUUUGUGAAUUUUAUUUUUAAGUUAAAAAGCUUAGAUUUUUUUAUUAGACGAUAAGACCCUAUAGAACUUUAUUUAUUUUUAUUUGUUAUAUUUUUAGUUUUUGUUUUUAUAAUAUUUAUUUGUUAAUUUUGUUGGGGUGACAUUUAAAUUUUUAUAACUUUAUUUUUUAGGUUUUCAUUUAUUAUUGUAUUUUUGAUCCAGUUUUAUUGAUUAUUAGAUUAAGUUACCUUAGGGAUAACAGCGUUAUUUUAUUGGAGAGCUCUUAUCGAUAAUAAAGUUUGCGACCUCGAUGUUGGAUUAAA